AUGGCGACCGGCGCACGGGUGAGUAACACGUAUCCAACCUGCCGAUAACUCGGGGAUAGCCUUUCGAAAGAAAGAUUAAUACCCGAUGGCAUAAUUAGACCGCAUGGUCUUAUUAUUAAAGAAUUUCGGUUAUCGAUGGGGAUGCGUUCCAUUAGGCAGUUGGUGAGGUAACGGCUCACCAAACCUUCGAUGGAUAGGGGUUCUGAGAGGAAGGUCCCCCACAUUGGAACUGAGACACGAUCCAA
rnacentral:rRNA from 1 species